rnacentral:rRNA from 1 species
UACGGAGGGUGCAAGCGUUAUCCGGAUUCACUGGGUUUAAAGGGUGCGUAGGUGGGUCUGUAAGUCAGUGGUGAAAUCUCCAAGCUUAACUUGGAACUGCCGUUGAUACUAUAGACCUUGAAUGCUGUGGAGGUGAGCGGAAUAUGUCAUGUAGCGGUGAAAUGCUUAGAUAUGACAUAGAACACCAAUUGCGAAGGCAGCUCACUACCCAGAUAUUACACUGAGGCACGAAAGCCGUGGGGAUCAAACAGG